rnacentral:lncRNA from 1 species
UGUACUGAACAUUAAUUUCCUAAACUACAGAUAAUGGAGAAAAAAUACAUCUGCUCUGGGUUUUAGUAUACUACAAGAAUGAAACAGAAGGUAUCACUAUAGACCCUACAGACAUUAAAAUGCUAAUUAGGGAGAACUACCAUAAAUCUGACAACUGAGAUGAAAUACAUUAAUUCAAUAAGAAACACAGUCACAACUUACCCAAUAUUAAAGAGGUUACUUUAAUAGCUCUGUAAUUACUAAGAACAUUUAAUUUCUUAAAAAGGAAAAUUCUUAUUUGCAACUUGAUUUUGUUCAUGAAAUUAUUUUUAUUUUAUGUUUGUGUCCUCCUUAGA